rnacentral:ncRNA from 1 species
GUAAAGUUUGAUUCUUUCUUGGGUUUUUAUGAUAUUACUGAGGUUGUAUGAGGGUUGUAGCGAGUAUUUUUAAUGGAGUUAAAUGCAACAUUAUAACGGUAAUUUAAUUAUAAAUGAUAAAAUAUUAAUUCUCAGCAUAGGAUAUUAAAGAAUGCAUUAAGAUGUGAUUUAGCAGUAAGUUUAAGCCUGAUAAAAUAUUGUGCCAGCAGUCGCGGUUAGACUUUAAGGUUAAGUAAAAAUAUAUUGGUUUUAGUUAUAUAUUUUAGUUGAAAAAAAAUUGAAGAAAUAAAAGGUGGAAUUAGGUUGUUUUUAUUCAUAAAUAUAAAACUGGAGUUGAAGCUAAAAAUUUUUAGAUUUAAACUAGGAUUAGAUACCCUACUAUACUAAAGAGUAAAGAGAGUGAACCAGAUUAUUAAUAGAUAUGUUCUUUAAAUUUAAAGAAUUUGGCGGUGAUUUAGUCUUGUCAGAGGAACCUGUUUUUGAAUCGACAAUCCACGUGGGAUCUUACUUGUCUUUGUUUUCAGUUUAUAUACCGUCAUUAACAGACAAUUUUUAAAGAAUAAAUUGUUAAAAUUUAUAAUGUUAAAGAAAAUUAGAUCAAGGUGUAGCUUAUGGACAAGUUAAAAUGGGUUACAAUAAAUUAUAUUUAUGAACGGAAUAAUUAAGGAAGAAGUAAUUAAUAAGGAGGAUUUGAUUGUAAUAUAAGUUUAAUAUGCUUAGGAGAGAUAAGCUCUAAAUCAUGUACAUAUCGCCCGUCGCUUUCAUUAGACAAAUGAGAUAAGUCGUAACAUAGUAGGCUUACCGGAAGGUAAGCCUAGUUUGAG